GACGAACGCUGGCGGCGUGCCUAAUACAUGCAAGUCGAGCGGACUUUCAAGAAGCUUGCUUUUUGAAAGUUAGCGGCGGACGGGUGAGUAACACGUGGGCAACCUGCCUGCAAGACGGGGAUAACUCCGGGAAACCGGGGCUAAUACCGGAUAAUAUCUUCCUUCGCAUGAAGCAAUGUUGAAAGGCGGCGCAAGCUGCCGCUUUCAGUUGGGCCCGCGGCGGAUUAGCUAGUUGGAGAGGAAACGGGUCCCCAAGGCGCCGAUGCGUAGCCGACCUGAGGGGGUGGUCGGCCACACUGGGACUGAGACACGGCCCCGACUCCUACGGGAGGCAGCAGGAGGGAAUCUUCCGCAAUGGACGGAAGGCUGGCGGGGCCACGCCGCGUGAGCGGAGAAGGGCUUCGGAUCGUAAAGAUCCGUUGUCAGGGAAGAACAAGUACCGUAAGAACAGGGCGGUACCUUGACGGUACCUGACCAGAAAGCCACGGCUAACUACGUG
rnacentral:rRNA from 1 species